AGUGAACGCUGGCGGUAGGCCUAACACAUGCAAGUCGAACGGCAGCACAGUAAGAGCUUGCUCUUACGGGUGGCGAGUGGCGGACGGGUGAGGAAUACAUCGGAAUCUACUUUUUCGUGGGGGAUAACGUAGGGAAACUUACGCUAAUACCGCAUACGACCUACGGGUGAAAGCAGGGGAUCUUCGGACCUUGCGCGAUUGAAUGAGCCGAUGUCGGAUUAGCUAGUUGGCGGGGUAAAGGCCCACCAAGGCGACGAUCCGUAGCUGGUCUGAGAGGAGGAUCAGCCACGCUGGAACUGAGGGACGGUCCAGGCUCGUACGGGAGGCAGCAGUGGGGAAUAUUGGACAAGGGGCGCAAGCCUGAUCCAGCAAUACCGCGUGGGUGAAGAAGGCCUUCGGGUUGUAAAGCCCUUUUGUGGGGAAAGAAAAGCAGCAGGUUAAUACCCCGCUGUCCUGACGGUACCCAAAGAAUAAGCACCGGCUAACUUCGU
rnacentral:rRNA from 1 species